rnacentral:rRNA from 1 species
UACGUAGGGUCCGAGCGUUGUCCGGAAUUAUUGGGCGUAAAGGGCUCGUAGGCGGUCUGUUGCGUCGGGAGUGAAAACUUACAGCUUAACUGUGAGCGUGCUUCCGAUACGGGCAGACUUGAGGUAUUCAGGGGAGAACGGAAUUCCUGGUGUAGCGGUGAAAUGCGCAGAUAUCAGGAGGAACACCGGUGGCGAAGGCGGUUCUCUGGGCAUUACCUGACGCUGAGGAGCGAAAGUGUGGGGAGCGAACAGG